UUGUCGUCACAGUGCAAAUUGUAUGGUUUCUCCUGAGUAUGUAGGUAAAGCCACAAAUUCGUAUGUCUGCAAUGCACAGGAUGGAAAACCCCAGUGAUGCAAAGUUGUAUACAAAACUACUUAAGGACACCAAUCAAAACAUGGCGAACCAAAGCCAAGCUGUUCGUCGUAGUUUGACGUCACAGGUUCACCAGAUCGAUUUGCCUUUCUUCCACUUUCUCUUAAUUUCAAUGAAAGCAAUGCUCAGACGGCACGCAAGAAUAAGCUAAGACUCGAAAUGUUUUUAAGUAAUGAAAUAGGUAAUGUUAAGAAAAACUAUUGAAAUAGGAAGAAAAUUUUCAGCACACUCACCUCGUUCAAACUAAAUGGACCUGUUGCAGUGAACUGAGGGAUACCUCAAUCGCAUCUGAAAUCGAAUUCAGAUUCAAAGAUGAGCAAAGAUAUACUAGAUAUUUCAUAGGGACAAUUAAAAAAUAAAUUGAAAAGAAAACAGAUUCCCGAAAGCUUUAAAGGCUUAGAGAAUAUCGAAUCCCGAAAGCUUUAAAGGCUUAGAGAACAAUACCUGGGUGAAAUGUUGGCUUGUUGUCAUUUGCGUCUUUUACAGAAACAUGCAACUGAAAUAAAAAUUCAUUCAGCAAAUCUAAGAUAAUCUGAGAUGAAGAUUGUAAUAAACUGUUUGAAAUGAACGAAGGAGAGAAAAUUUGAGGUUUUAUAGUGAAAGAGGUAAGGUUUUAAAAACUUUGAUGAAAAUUUUUUGUCAAUGGGAGGAGAUUGUUUGUGCAAUGAAAACUUGAUGCAUCUUCAGAACUGAGAUUGAUACACUUAAAUAAGUAGGUUCAAAUACCUUAGCUAAUGCACUACGCGGAGGAAUUCCCAUGUCACUUGCACUGAUCUGAAAAAGUUGAUCAAUUGAAAGAGAGGUUGCAUUGUUACGGUAGGAUACAUUACAAAUUCAAAGUAGUAGAACGACCUAAUGGUGACUGACUGUAUUGUUACCGACUUACAGACUGAGCGAAGCUCCACACCGAUACACAAUUUGAUUAAAAUUUCGAAAUUACUUUUGUCAUAAGUUUCCUUGUCUAUUGCCCAAACUAGGCCAUUACGCUUCAGGACAACAACACAAUCUGACAUAGUAGUUAAUUCACUGUGCGCUGUUGAUUAACCCGAAAAGUAUGGUAAAUUAACAUAUAAUGCUGACCGUACAUAGCCUAAAUCAAUCAUGCAAGCAAUUUACGAUUGAGUUAAUAAAACUAAAUAUUCAUCGAAAUGUAAAAAAAUACUCACAAAAAGAGUAAAUGAGUGCUCAUUGUUUGGCGGGUCUCUAUCAAUAUUGCUAAGAACGAAGACUGCUCCGCUGUUGACAUCAAUAGAAAAUCUAUUAUUUGUGUUUCCCUGUGUUAUUUUGUACCGGAUCAGCUGGUUCCGUCCGACAUCUUUGUCGGUCGCUCUAAAGCUGGCAACCACGCUGCCUGCUGGGGUAUCCUCGCCAAUGGUUAUCGAGAUCGAACUUUUUUCAAAGAUGGGCGAAUUGUCAUUUUGAUC